ensembl:lncRNA
CUUUCCUGGCAGGAAAAUGAAUCUCCUUUGCCAGCAGAGAUCUUUUCCUCCUUUGCUUUCAGAAGAGGCUGGCAAGAUUUCUUUUGGGGAGGAAGUAGGAGUCGCUGCCAUGCAGACAGGAGGGCUCCGGGCCAAGCAUCGGCUCACCCAAGACUGCCUGAAGGAAUGAAUGAACUGGUGAACCCACGAAAGUGUUCCUCGGUUCGCCUAACGGAAGAGAUGGUCCAGACAGUUCUCAGGACCCACAGUUAGCAAAGACAAGAAGUCUCCAUGAAGUGCCCAAUAAUAAAAGUAAGCGGCUUGAAGAGUCCUUGGGGUGCUCCUUGGAAAAGAGAUGACGGAGGGAGAAGGUACUGACGCAGAGUAAUGAUGCAGGUAAUUUGUGCCACACUUGAACAUGGGCAUCCAGA